rnacentral:lncRNA from 1 species
CGCCGGCCGCCUUCAGUCAGCAGCUCGGCGCCACCUCCGGUCGGCGACUGCGGCGGGCUCGACGAGGCGGCUGACGGGGCGGCGGCGGGAAGACGGCCGGGUGCGCCUUGGGGUUUAGUGGCGGCUUCUCCAUGGGUCCAGCCAGCCGCUUCCCUGUGCUGUGAGUGUUUCCACCACUCCAGGAGACAGCAUUCAGAGUUGACCUUGUGAGAGCUGGCCAUAAUUUAAUUCCAUCUCUAGGUUUUCUGUAGGCACAUCGAGAACCAACCAUGGGCAGCUUUACUAAGGAAGAGUUUGACUGCCAUAUCCUCGAUGAAGGUUUCACUGCUAAGGACAUUCUGGACCAAAAAAUCAAUGAAGUUUCUUCCUCUGAUGAUAAGGAUGCUUUCUAUGUUGCGGACCUCGG